AUUGAACGCUGGCGGUAGGCCUAACACAUGCAAGUCGAACGAGUGGCGGACGGGUGAGGAAUACAUCGGAAUCUGCUCUGUCGUGGGGGAUAACGUAGGGAAACUUACGCUAAUACCGCAUACGAUUGAAUGAGCCGAUGUCGGAUUAGCUAGUUGGCGGGGUAAAGGCUCACCUAGGCGACGAUCCCUAGCUGGUCUGAGAGGAUGAUCAGCCACACUGGAACUGAGACACGGUCCAGACUCCUACGGGAGGCAGCAGUGGGGAAUAUUGGACAAUGGGCGCAAGCCUGAUCCAGCCAUGCCGCGUGUGUGAAGAAGGCCUUCGGGUUGUAAAGCCCUUUUGUUGGGGAAGCGUUACCCAAAGAAUAAGCACCGGCUAACUUCGUGCCAGCAGCCGCGGUAAUUC
rnacentral:rRNA from 1 species